ensembl:lncRNA
UGCUGCUUCUGCUGUGUGCGAUACUCUGCGGAAGAGGAGAGGAGAGCUGAGGGCGUGCACGUGCGCCUGCCCUGUCGUGCACACCCAGAGUCGAGCGCGCGCCUGUGAUUAAUCUCAGUGACUCGAAUCUUUUGAAUCAUUUGAGUUCACGAAAGCAGGUUCAUUGACUCGGUCAGUGUUCCAGUGUUGCCAAGUCCGCGGUUUUACCCGCGAAACUGACUGGGCUAUGUAAACACUGUUCAUGUCCACGAAGCGACCCCAAAAACGUGAUAUUUAGCCCCUGAAAUGCGAAUUUUACCAGGGGAACCCCGCCAAAAACGCUUAUUUAACCCCUCGAAACAAUAAUUUUGGGCUAGGUUUGAGUAGCAAUUGAGUAACGUUAGCCGGUUUUGUUGUGAAAACCUGGCAACCCUGCAAUGAGUGUCUGUUUCCUACGCCAGUAGAUGGCAACAACAGUCAGCGUUUUAUAACCACAUUUACCAAGUAACAAAUAUGGCUCUCAAACUUUGUUUUUAACUCAGCAGUUCGCAUACAGCAUGCGAGCUUCUGUAUAAACGAAGUGGGAUUCGAUGUCAUCUCUAGCCUAUUUCUGUGAAUGGUAUGCUCUCCUGUAACCGCCGUAGGCAACAAAACAACUGAAGCAGCAGCACGGGUAGAAGACACAGACUGGGUCUAAAUCUUCUGAUGUCAUCCAGUAUCUUCCUGAGUUACUGUAAUGACAACUUGAAAAGCACUCAAGAAUGUGUGCAGUACUGAGUGGCUCUCGCAUUGUAUGUGUCAAAGUAGUUGACUAGUACAUCACCCUCAAUGAAAAUUAACCACGGUUUUAUUGUAGUGUCAGUGGGUCAGCAAAGGGACCUAACGGUUUGGUCUUCAUUGUACACACACCCACAUAAAUACCCAUAUCCUUAUUUAAGACAAUUAUCAUUAUUCACCUGUGCACUUACUCCAAUUGGGGACGAAGCCACUACAUUUUUAAUUACUGAAAUUAGAGUGUCAGUGAGGACUCCAGUUUUUAAGUAGUUCUUAGAUGCCAGGUAACACCAGUUCCUGGCACUGACCUGGUCACUUCUAUGGUUACAACCUUACGUCAAUAUUUGUAAUUACUCCUGUGUGAGUGCUCCAGUGACACUUUGAUUGUUAGUGAUCAUGUAUGAAAUAUUCAGCUACUGCUAAUUAGUAACCUAUAAAUCAACGAGUCAUUACUUUUCAAUGCACAACAAGCUGUAUAUAAGACUGAAAGUAAAUUAACUUCAAAUGAGGACUAAGUAUUGCAAUUUUGACAAUGUAUGAGGAUCUGGUCAAUUAUUCUGUGGGUCGAAAGUAAAUCUUAGGCACCUCUAUAUAUAUUUUGACUUUGACAGAAUAAACUGUGUGUGUGUUUAAAUGGUAUAUAUAUA